rnacentral:rRNA from 1 species
UUCUCGAUAUAAAAUGAGCAAUGGGCCUAUAAAUAUUAAUGUAACAUAAUUAUUUAGAAUAGUCUUAUUGAAAUGAAACGUUAAUCGUAUUUUAGUGUAUCUAGUUUUUUAAGAAAUAAAUUUAAUUUAUUCGUUAUUAAUUAAUAUUUUAAAUAUAUAAUUAAUUAAGAGAUAACGAGGAAUAUUAUUAGGGAUAAGCUUAAUAAUAAAAAUUUAAUGGAUUUUUAUAUUAAAUAUUUAGUGGGGAUAAAGGUUUCUAUCUUGAAUUAGUGUGUUAUUACAAGAUAUUUAUUAAUUAAAAUUUUUAUUUUAUUUAAAUUAUUUAUUAGAAUAUUUAACUUAAUUUAUUAGUUAGGGAAAUAAUGAUUAAAUUAGUAUAAUUUAAAGGUGAUAAUAUUGUUGUUAUUGACAGAUAAAAUAAAGGAAUUCGGCAAAAUAGUCUCCGCCUGUUUAAUAAAAACAUGGUUUUUUGAUUAUAAUUUAAAAUUUGGCCUGCCCUAUGAGGAGUUAAAUGGCUGCAGUAUUUUGACUGUACAAAGGUAGCAUAAUAAUUAGUUUCUUAAUUAGGAACUGGAAUGAAGGGUCGGACGAGAGAUUAACUGUCUCUAUUUUAUUAAUAGAAUUUUAUUUUUAAGUGAAAAAGCUUAAAUGUGAUUAAAAGACGAGAAGACCCUAUAGAACUUUAUAUUUAAGUUAUAAAAGUUAUUUAGUGUAUUAAUAUUUUUAUUUAAUUAAGUAUUAUGUUGGGGUGAUAGAAAAAUUGAGUUAACUUUUUUAAUUAGAGAAUAUUUAUUUAUAAAUGAAUGAUCCAUAGAUUAUGAUUAUUAGAUUAAGUUACCUUAGGGAUAACAGCGUAAUUUCUUUUAGGAGUUCUUAUUUGAAGAGAAGAUUGCGACCUCGAUGUUGGAUUAAAUUUAAUAGUAGGUGAAGGAGCUUAUUAAUUUGGUCGUUUCGACCA